GAACAUAUAGAAUCUACCAAGAUUGAAUAAAAAAGACAUAGAAAACCUGAACAGACCAGUUACAAGUAAUGAAGUUGAAACAGUAAUUUUUAAAAUCUCUGAACAAACAAAUGUGCAUGACUGGAUGGCUUAACUGCCAAAUUCUACCAAACUUUCUAAGAACUAACACCAAUUCUCCUCAAAACUAUUCCCAAAAAUUAAAGAGGGAAUUCUCCAUAACUCAUUUUACAAGGCCAGCAUUACCCUGAUACUAAAACCAGACAGAGACUCAACAAAAAAAGUACAGGCCAACAUCCCUGAAGAACAUACACACAAAGCUCCUCAACAAAUACUAGCAAACCCAAUCCAACAGCAUAUCAAGAAGAUAAUACACUAUGAUCAACUAAGAUUUAUUCCAGGGAUUCAAGGAUGAUUCAAUAUAUGCAAAUCAAUAAGUGUGCUAUAUCACAUCAACAGAAUGAAAGACAAAUACUGUAUCACCAUCUCAAUAGACGCAGAAAAAGGAUUUAAUAGGAGGCUGGCACCAUGGGGUUAUCGAAGCAGCUGUCACGAUGCUGGGGUUCCUGGUGUUGAAGAGAAAAGCACCGGCGCCACGGCUACUCCACCAGCUACUCAGGUCCCCAGUGCUCCAGGGUCAUGGAGGUGCUUUCGGCCGGAAUGUGACCACUGGGGGUCUCUGGGAGCCUCAGUGGCUGAGGGCAGCCUCCUGGGGGCGCCCUGGAACAUCGUUGGCCUUGUUCUCCGGACUCGGGGCAGCCACUGGGGGGCGCCAUGGAGGACGUCUCAAUACCAAAUGCCUCACGGCUGCCAUUUGGGUGCACCUUCCCGGCCCCGAAGAAACACUCCCAGGACAGGACAGCCAGACCGAGGUCCCCAACAGGGCUGGACUGGGCAUGAGGACCCUCGCCACAGCGCUGGUGGCUCAUUGCUACAGCAAGAGUCCGUCCAACAAGGAUGCAGCCCUGAUGGAAGCUGCCCGUGCCAACAAUCCACAUGAAGUCAGCAGACUGCUGUCAGAAGGCUCAGAUGUCAAUGCAAGGCAUAGACUUGGCUGGACAGCACUCGUGGUGGCAGCCAUCAACCGAAAUGACAGUGUGAUACAGGUCCUGCUUGCUGCCGGGGCUGAUCCAAACCUUGGAGACGAUUUCAGCAGUAUUUACAAGACUGCCAAGGACCAGGGAAUCCAUUCUUUGGAAGUCCUGGUCACCCAAGAGGAUGACUUCAACAACAGGCUGUCCUUGCUGAUGACUACCGCACUAUCAAGGAGCUGCUUGAUGGAGGAGCCAACCCCCUGCAGAGGAAUGAAAUGUGACACACACCCUUGGAUUAUGCCCGAGAAGGGGAAGUGAUGAAACUUCUGAGGACUUCUGAAGCCAAGUACCAAGAGAAGCAGUGAAAGCGUGAGUCUGAGGAGCGGCGCCACUUCCCCCUGGAGCAGUGACUGAAGGAGCACAUCAUUGGCCAGGAGAGCCCCAUCGCCACAGUGGGUGCUGCGAUCUGGAGGAAGGAGAAUGGCUGGUACGAUGAAGAACACCCUCUGGUCUUCCUCUUCUUGGGAUCAUCUGGAAUAGGAAAAACAGAGCUGGCCAAGCAGACAGCCAAAUAUAUGCACAAAGAUGCUAAAAAGGGCUUCAUCAGGCUGGACAUGUCUGAGUUCCAGGAGCGACACGAGGUGGCCAAGUUUAUUGGGUCCCCACCAGGCUACGUCGGCCAUGAGGAGGGUGGCCAGCUGACCAAGAAGUUGAGGCAGUGCCCCAAUGCUGUGGUGCUCUUUGAUGAAGUAGACAAGGCCCAUCCAGAUGUGCUCACCAUCAUGCUGCAGCUGUUUGAUGAGGGCAGACUGACAGAUGGAAAAGGGAAGACCAUUGAUUGCAAGGGCGCCAUCGUCAUCAUGAUCUCCAAUGUGGCCAGCGAUGAGAUCGCACAGCACGCACUGCAGCUGGGGCAGGAAGCUUUGGAGAUGAGCCAUAACCAUAUUGCCGUAAACCUGGGAGAUGUCCACAUAAGUGACAAGAUCACCAUCUUAAAGAACUUCCAGGAGAAUGUGAUUCGCCCUAUCCUGAAAGCUCACUUCCGGAGGGAUGAGUUUCUGGGACGGAUCAAUGAGAUCGUCUAUUUCCUCCCCUUCUGCCACUCAGAGCUCAUCCAACUCGUCAACAAGAAACUAAACUUCCAGGCCAAGAGAGCCAAGCAAAGACACAACAUCAUGCUGCUCUGGGACCGCGAGGUGGCAGACGUGCUGGUCGACGGCUACAACGUGCACUAUGGCGCCCGCUCCAUCAAACAUGAGGUAGAGCGCCCUGUGGUGAACCAGCUGGCAGCAGCCUAUGAGCAGGACCUGCUACCAGGCGGCUGCACUCUGCGCAUCACAGUGGAGCACUCAGACAAGCAGCUACUCAAGAGCCCAGAACUGCCCUCACCUCAGGCUGAGAAGCGCCUCCCCAAGCUGAGGCUGGAGAUCAUCGACAAGGACAACAAGACUCGCAAACUGGACAUCUGGGCACCAAUGCAUCCUGAAAGGGUGUGUAACAUCAUCUAGCAGCCACCUGCCUGCCUAUAUGCACCCUCACCAUCCAAUAAAAGCCCCUCUGC